CCAAAACAGAGACACAUGCGCA
rnacentral:misc_RNA from 1 species